UGAGGAAUAUUGGUCAAUGGCCGAGAGGCUGAACCAGCCAAGUCGCGUGAGGGAUGACGGCCCUACGGGUUGUAAACCUCUUUUGUCGGGGAGCAAAGGACUUCACGAGUGGAGUUUCGAGAGUACCCGAAGAAAAAGCAUCGGCUAACUCCGUGCCAGCAGCCGCGGUAAUACGGAGGAUGCGAGCGUUAUCCGGAUUUAUUGGGUUUAAAGGGUGCGCAGGCGGAGUGUCAAGUCAGCGGUAAAAUUUCGGGGCUCAACCCCGGCGAGCGUUGAAACUGACGCCCUUGAGUGCGCGAGAAGUAUGCGGAAUGCGUGGUGUAGCGGUGAAAUGCAUAGAUAUCACGCAGAACUCCGAUUGCGAAGGCAGCAUACCGGCGCGCAACUGACGCUCAUGCACGAAAGCGUGGGUAUCGAACAGGAUUAGAUACC
rnacentral:rRNA from 1 species